CGGGCGGUAGCUCAGCUUGGUAGAGCUUCCGGCUGUAGACCGGGUUGUCGCAGGUUCAAAUCCUGCCCGCCCGACCA
rnacentral:tRNA from 1 species